UACAGAGGUGGCAAGCGUUGUUCGGAAUUACUGGGCGUAAAGGGCGCGUAGGCGGCCUCCUAAGUCGGACGUGAAAGCCCCAGGCUUAACCUGGGAACUGCGUCCGAUACUGGAUGGCUUGAGUUCGGGAGAGGGAUGCGGAAUUCCAGGUGUAGCGGUGAAAUGCGUAGAUAUCUGGAGGAACACCGGUGGCGAAGGCGGCAUCCUGGACCGACACUGACGCUGAGGAGCGAAAGCCAGGGGAGCAAACGGGG
rnacentral:rRNA from 1 species